CACCGGCAGCAGCUAAACCCGGA
rnacentral:siRNA from 1 species